AUGUACCUUUCUUGGCUGAUCCCUUUCGCUGUAUGGCGUGCUCGUUUGGGUUGGGCGUCGGCUAAGAGUGCUCGGAGCGUGGAUUAACUCCAGUCUCCUAUCAGGUGAGCCUUGAUGUGGGGACUUGGGCCGGAGGGGAUUCAGAAUGGCCACGGUGAUUGUCUUUGGACUUUUAAAUAAGCGUUGGUUUUCUUUAAAUUUCCAUUAAAUAUUAUUUAUUAUUAUUUUUUUGGGGGUUGUAAUAA